rnacentral:rRNA from 1 species
GCAUGUUCACAUGAUUAAAGGUAUUCCGGUAGACGAUGGGGAUGCGUUCCAUUAGAUAGUAGGCGGGGUAACGGCCCACCUAGUCUUCGAUGGAUAGGGGUUCUGAGAGGAAGGUCCCCCACAUUGGAACUGAGACACGGUCCAAACUCCUACGGGAGGCAGCAGUGAGGAAUAUUGGUCAAUGGGCGAGAGCCUGAACCAGCCAAGUAGCGUGAAGGAUGACUGCCCUAUGGGUUGUAAACUUCUUUUGUAAAGGAAUAAAGUCGGGUAUGCAUACCCGUUUGCAUGUACUUUAUGAAUAAGGAUCGGCUAACUCCGUGCCAGCAGCCGCGGUAAUACGGAGGAUCCGAGCGUUAUCCGGAUUUAUUGGGUUUAAAGGGAGCGUAGAUGGAUGUUUAAGUCAGUUGUGAAAGUUUGCGGCUCAACCGUAAAAUUGCAGUUGAUACUGGAUAUCUUGAGUGCAGUUGAGGCAGGCGGAAUUCGUGGUGUAGCGGUGAAAUGCUUAGAUAUCACGAAGAACUCCGAUUGCGAAGGCAGCCUGCUAAGCUGCAACUGACAUUGAGGCUCGAAAGUGUGGGUAUCAAACAGGAUUAGAUACCCUGGUAGUCCACACGGUAAACGAUGAAUACUCGCUGUUUGCGAUAUACAGCAAGCGGCC